rnacentral:misc_RNA from 1 species
CCGUGGGACCCCGUUCUCUGCGCCGCACACCACGUUGCCGGGCAGCCCCGCCCUGCGACGCUUCACCCACGCAGUAUGCGGACGAGCGGAUAAGCGCUCGGUCGAACGAGUGGCUGGCGCCAGCGGCGCCAGACCAGUCAUCGGCGCACGCGGCGCAUCGGAGCGUUCCUGACAGUGUGAUCCGGCGUCUGGCUCCGGCGGCGAGGGCAGCGAAGCGGAGGCGUGGGCAGGCCAUUCUGCCAAC